GAAGGGGUGGCCAGUCUUAGGCAGAGAGGGAAUCAGUGGUCAGCAGGCCCAUGGCCAGAGCUGCCCCGCUCACGGCCUGCAGUGAAGGGCUGGCCAGUCUUAC